AAUCAACGCUGGCGGCGUGCCUAACACAUGCAAGUCGAACGCGAAAAGGGGCUUCGGCUCUUAGUAGAAGUGGCAAACGGGUGAGUAACACGUGGGUGACCUACCUUCGAAUGGGGGAUAACGUCCCGAAAGGGACGCUAAUACCGCAUAACAUCCUGCCUUUGGAACAGGUGGAGAUCAAAGCCGGGGGAUCGCAAGACCUGGCGUUUGAAGAGGGGCCCGCGUCUGAUUAGCUAGUUGGGAGGUACGGC
rnacentral:rRNA from 1 species